UACCAGCACCCCGAGUGGUUGGGACGAUUAUUGGGCCUAAAGCCUCCGUAGCCGGUCCUACAAGUCUUCCGUUAAAUCCACCUGCUUAACAGAUGGGCUGCGGAAGAUACUAUCGGGCUAGGAGGCGGGAGAGGCAAGCGGUACUCAGUGGGUAGGGGUAAAAUCCUCUGAUCCAUUGAAGACCACCAGUGGCGAAGGCGGCUUGCCAGAACGCGCUCGACGGUGAGGGAUGAAAGCUGGGGGAGCAAACCGG
rnacentral:rRNA from 1 species